rnacentral:misc_RNA from 1 species
CAACCCUCGAACCCCUCCGGGGGGUCGGCGUUGGGGAUCGGCCCUCCCUCGCGGGGAGCCGUCUCCGAAAUACAGUGGCGGUCUCGCCGCAGCCUCUCCUGCGCAGUAGUUUGCACACUCGCACCGGGAGCGCGGCGCGUCCACAGCCGUUAAACACCCAACUUCUGAAA